rnacentral:rRNA from 1 species
UACAGAGGGUGCAAGCGUUGUUCGGAAUUAUUGGGCGUAAAGGGUGCGUAGGCGGUUCGUUAAGUCUGUUGUGAAAUCCCCGGGCUCAACCUGGGAAUGGCAAUGGAUACUGGCGGGCUAGAGUGUGUCAGAGGAUGGUGGAAUUCCCGGUGUAGCGGUGAAAUGCGUAGAGAUCGGGAGGAACAUCAGUGGCGAAGGCGGCCAUCUGGGACAACACUGACGCUGAAGCACGAAAGCGUGGGGAGCAAACAGG